rnacentral:ncRNA from 1 species
AUGAACAUGAGGAAAGGGAAAUUAAGUGUACAGAAUGUACAGAGAGCCGGCGGGUGGUGUAAGUCGGUCAUUUUGACAGUUGAUUCCGCCCUGGAGUGGCUAAUGAUGAAUUAUGACGGGUGUCGCCCGGUAUAGCGAUAAGAGUUGGCUAUAUAUGUAGCAAUUUGGGUGGCAACGCGGGAAUAUCUCUCGUCCCUGGU